AAGAUUUGGAGCUAAGCCCUCCCUUCUCCCUGUGGGGAAAAAAAACCCUCAACCCAGGCUGGGGAAGGGAGGGUUUAUUUGCUCACUCGCCUUUUUUUCCCCCCUAGGUCGUUGUUAUCGGUCAUAGUUUUCAUUGACUACGGAGUCAAACUGUAUUCCUUUCCUGAACUGACAGAGCAUGACUGAUCGGAGGCGGGGGCGCGGCGCA
rnacentral:lncRNA from 1 species